CCCUGCACCGUGCGUGCAGGGACAUCUUCCGACUGCAACAAGGGGUCUGCCCGUG
rfam:Erwinia iniecta strain B120 contig000029, whole genome shotgun sequence.